rnacentral:rRNA from 1 species
AGCGAACGCUGGCGGCAGGCCUAACACAUGCAAGUCGAACGAACCUUUCGGGGUUAGUGGCGGACGGGUGAGUAACACGUGGGAACGUGCCUUUAGGUUCGGAAUAACUCAGGGAAACUUGUGCUAAUACCGAAUGUGCCCUUCGGGGGAAAGAUUUAUCGCCUUUAGAGCGGCCCGCGUCUGAUUAGCUAGUUGGUUGAGGUAAUGGCUCACCAAGGCGACGAUCAGUAGCUGGUCUGAGAGGAUGAUCAGCCACAUUGGGACUGAGACACGGCCCAAACUCCUACGGGAGGCAGCAGUGGGGAAUCUUGCGCAAUGGGCGAAAGCCUGACGCAGCCAUGCCGCGUGAAUGAUGAAGGUCUUAGGAUUGUGAAAUUCUUUCACCGGGGACGAUAAUGACGGUACCCGGAGAAGAAGCCCCGGCUAACUUCGUG